rnacentral:tRNA from 1 species
AGUGAAGUGGCUGAAUUGUAGGUGAUAAAUUGUAAAUUUAUUUAUGAGUUAUAACUCCUUUACUA